GACGAACGCUGGCGGCGUGCUUAACACAUGCAAGUCGAGCGGAAAGGCCCUUCGGGGUACUCGAGCGGCGAACGGGUGAGUAACACGUGAGUAACCUGCCCUUGGCUCUGGGAUAGCUCCGGGAAACCGGAAUUAAUACCGGAUAUGACCUCGGCCGACAUCGGCUGUGGUGGAAAGAUUUAUCGGCCGGGGAUGGGCUCGCGGCCUAUCAGCUAGUUGGUGGGGUAACGGCCUACCAAGGCGACGACGGGUAGCCGGCCUGAGAGGCGACCGGCCACACUGGGACUGAGACACGGCCCAGACUCCUACGGGAGGCAGCAGUGGGGAAUAUUGCGCAAUGGGCGAAAGCCUGACGCAGCGACGCCGCGUGGGGA
rnacentral:rRNA from 1 species